ACAAGUUAUUGAAUGCUUGAUAUUGCAUGUCUCCUAGUAUGUUUUGUUGAUUUAUUUAGUAGGUCAAUUGACGCUGCGGUCUAUGGACGCAGUUGACCUUCUUUUUUUUCCAACAAAAGCUCGAUCUGGUGUAUGCGAGCAAAGUGAUCAAACGAUCCAACUUUCUGAUCGAUCGAGAUCUAAUCCCAGACUGUGCAACAUGGAAUAUCCAAAGUGGAUUGAUCUUUCGAUAACAUCCAUGCUUGUGGGGUGUCUGAAUGACUACUUGAUUAGCUUGUCUUGGGGCUUGAGAUACACUGGGUCAAAUUGUCCUUAGCCAACAUAACCUACUUGAUUUUAUUGUCUUGGGACUUAGAUUAGAUUCCUCGUUUAGAUCUGAAAAGACAUGUCAUUGUGAGUAUGGUUCACUUCUCUCCUCCCUUCAUCAUCUUAACAAUUAGAAAAGAAAAAAAAAUUCAGAUGAUUUCGUGUGGAGUAAAGGAGUUGGAAAUUUUCAUGUGACCCCAUUAUUUUACUUCGAACGGAGUGAUCACACAAGCUCGAAGCAAGGUAGAAAAAUUUCCUAUGACCCCGUUAUUAAUAGCAUACACUUUGCAGAGCAAGAAAAAAAUAAAAGAAGAGAAAUCGAUUCAGAGAAGUGAGAAAAGAGAGACGAAACGAAUCAGAAUAAGACUGCAUGGUUGAUCAAAAACCUAAAUGGGUAAUAGUCCAUGUGUCUUUUGAUCGAUACUCCCAAGAUGAGGCUGCUCGUUAAAUUAUCAAAUACGGUCAGCAAUGGUGAAUUUAAAUUAUCUUUUGUGAGUUGUGGGCUGAAAAUGAUUAGGUUGCUAAGUAGAUGUCAAAUACAUUGAAGUACAUUCUAAGGUUGGUACUAAUUGAUAUGGCUUACAACUCGUUAACGUGAAAGUGGUGUUCUGAAGGUUAAGUGAGUUCCCAUGUUUUCAAACCUUUCCACUAGACUCUGAAUUGUUGUGUGUCUUUACAUGAAGAAAAGUUAAGGUUAAGUCUAGGAGAAUUGAUAUAUCUUGUUUUCUAGUACAUAUUAAUAUGGUUCAAGGAUUUUUGGAUUUUCUAUCUAUGUUUUCAGGUAAUAUAAGUGCUUGGACGGUUCCGGAGACUUCAGUGAAAUUUUACAGGGAUUUCAAUGAAUUUUUGUGAUGAUUUGAAGCACUAGGAGAAAAUGAAAGAAAAGGAUCGAUCUAUCCCAUUCCAGACCAAAACUGAAUCGAUCGAUCCAUUGAAAAAACAGCAAACUGGUCGUCUCAGCAAACCGCAUUGAUUAAUGCAACUUCCCAAUCGAUCGAUAUGACAAUUGCAAACAAAGUAUUCGAUUGAUGCAAAUUGAUUGGACGAGCUGAAGGUGAAGAAACAUUUCUUGCAAAAAUGCAUCAAUCGACGGGAAAAUCCGAUUGAUGGGAUCCGCGUGAGCUGAGAUGAAAUUUUCAUUUUCCUGUUUUGGUUUUGUCUUUUUUCCAAAAAAAUUCCCCUUGUCUAUAAAUACCCCUAGGACGAAAACUAGAGGGCGAAGCUUUAUUUUGCAAUAGACUAUUAGGUUUUUGAAUUGAGGGGAGACGAGAGUUUAUAUUCUGAACCCCAAUUGUUUCUCUUUAACCUAAUGACAUUUUCCAUAUUAAUA